AUAGCACUGUAUUGUAUAAAAACAAGAAAUAAGCUAAGAUUGAAAACGUGUAAUCACUGUAACAGAUGUAGUGCAGUGUGUGCGUGUGUCCCUUUAAGGGGUGUGGCCUGUUGAGUAAUGUUAAAAACAUGGCAUGUGCCCAUCUUUGUUUAUUUUUUGCUCCGUUUUGUUAUUUCUUCUCUCCACUCGAGUUAUGGCGUCUCUCAAUCUCGCUCGCGACAAUUUCGGCCACUUGGACCGUCGAGAGAAAACUGACUGAAUACUUUGUCCCUCAGGAGAUUUUCACGUAUGUGUACGACGAGUCACGACACUUGACUUGUACUCCCAACAGUUUGAAAACAGAUAUGCGCAUUUCUGACUCCUUCUCUUUCAUAAUCUUCCAGGCUUAUUUGACGACUUGUAAAUAGACGAAGGGAGGCUGGCGGCUCUGACGACAAAGGCGCUCGAUUUCCGUGACUCUCCGCACACCUGUCCAGAAAUAUGCUGCCAUUCUGGUUCUCUGCGCCAACGAGGGGGUGCCCUCGGCGCAAAGGCCCCGCAGGGCUCAUCAUCAUCAUCAUCAUCAUCGUCCGUGCGACUCCCAACGACUGUCAGAAUGGCGGCCUCCGGCCACCUGCGGCGACUUCUCUUCCUGAGGUGCGAUCCGACUCCGGAUAACCGGAACAAUCCACCUUAAGGAAACAGCCCAAAGUGACAAACUCAAGUCCAAAGUGAGACAGUUUGACCGUUUUUUUUUUUGGUUUUUUUUUACACAUGUGUGUGUGUGUGUGUUGUCCUCCUGCUCUGUUGCCUGAGUGUAAACACGAAUCGGAAUUGGCCGGCGGCGAGGUUGCUUUUGCGUUCGUCCCCAAACGCAGUUCAAGAACAAGUUGGGCUUGAUGAAAUGCGGCCUGCUCGCCGCGCUCACCAGAAAAUGAUGACGACGUUCCGCUUCGGUUUCAUAACACGUCAUCGUAAACAAACAGGAAAAAUCAUAUUUCUGUGUUUAGGGCAAUCGGUUGAAGAAAUUUCACUGUUGAUUCAAAUUCAGAUCUUGGAUUAUUAUUCCCAUUUUUAGUCAACACAUUUUUUUAUUAUUUAUAUUCAAUUAAUCAAAUGUAUGUGCAUCCGUUUAUUUACUAUGCCGGUUUAGGGUUAACCUAUCUCAGCUGACUUUGGUCUCAGAGGCGGGGUACACCCUGGACAUGUAAACAGUGGAUAGAAAAAGUCUACACACCCCUGUUCAAAUGUCAGAUUCUUGUGCGAUUAAAAACAUCAUCAGAUUACGAUAAAUCGUUGGAAAACUUUUUCCGCCAUUAACCUGUUCAACUUCAUUGAAACAAACGUUUCCAAAUUUUGGAGAGAGAGAGAGAAAAAAAAUAACACUCAAAGUCUCCCAAACACCAAUGGGAAAAUGUGUGAUAGGCUGUCACACACAGCUGGAACUGGGGCCUCAGACAAGAUGGAGGGAAUUAUGAACGGCUUCAAAUAACAGUCCGCGUCAGCACGAAACCUUCAGGCUUCUGCGAGAAAGCAAAAAGCAAAAAACAAAACAAAACAAAACAAAAAAAGUCAGGAAAAGCCUACUAGAACAUCAAAACUUCAUUUGGAGUUAAUCAAUCAAUCACCCUCCGAAAGGUUGCAUUUAAAACGGGUAUGCAGACUUGUGUGUGGUAGUUUUUGUUAUUUGUUUUCGUCUCUAUUUUUUAAAAUAUAUUGACUGUCGGGUUGACA